rnacentral:rRNA from 1 species
GAUGAACGCUAGCGGGAGGCCUAACACAUGCAAGCCGAGCGGUAUUGUUUCUUCGGAAAUGAGAGAGCGGCGUACGGGUGCGGAACACGUGUGCAACCUGCCUUUAUCUGGGGGAUAGCCUUUCGAAAGGAAGAUUAAUACUCCAUAAUAUAUUGAACGGCAUCGUUUAAUAUUGAAAGCUCCGGCGGAUAGAGAUGGGCACGCGCAAGAUUAGCUAGUUGGUGAGGUAACGGCUCACCAAGGCGAUGAUCUUUAGGGGGCCUGAGAGGGUGAUCCCCCACACUGGUACUGAGACACGGACCAGACUCCUACGGGAGGCAGCAGUGAGGAAUAUUGGUCAAUGGGUGCAAGCCUGAACCAGCCAUCCCGCGUGAAGGACGACUGCCCUAUGGGUUGUAAACUUCUUUUGUAUAGGGAUAAACCUACCCUCGUGAGGGUAGCUGAAGGUACUAUACGAAUAAGCACCGGCUAACUCCGUGCCAGCAGCCGCGGUAAUACGGAGGGUGCAAGCGUUAUCCGGAUUUAUUGGGUUUAAAGGGUCCGUAGGCGGACUUAUAAGUCAGUGGUGAAAGCCUGCCGCUUAACGAUAGAACUGCCAUUGAUACUGUAAGUCUUGAGUAUAUUUGAGGUAGCUGGAAUAAGUAGUGUAGCGGUGAAAUGCAUAGAUAUUACUUAGAACACCAAUUGCGAAGGCAGGUUACCAAGAUAUAACUGACGCUGAGGGACGAAAGCGUGGGGAGCGAACAGGAUUAGAUACCCUGGUAGUCCACGCCGUAAACGAUGCUAACUCGUUUUUGGGCUUUAGGGUUCAGAGACCAAGCGAAAGUGAUAAGUUAGCCACCUGGGGAGUACGCUCGCAAGAGUGAAACUCAAAGGAAUUGACAGGGGCCCGCACAAGCGGUGGAUUAUGUGGUUUAAUUCGAUGAUACGCGAGGAACCUUACCAAGACUUAAAUGGGAAUUGACAGCUUUAGAAAUAGAGCUUUCUUCGGACAAUUUUCAAGGUGCUGCAUGGUUGUCGUCAGCUCGUGCCGUGAGGUGUUAGGUUAAGUCCUGCAACGAGCGCAACCCCUGUCACUAGUUGCCAUCAUUCAGUUGGGGACUCUAGUGAGACUGCCUACGCAAGUAGAGAGGAAGGUGGGGAUGACGUCAAAUCAUCACGGCCCUUACGUCUUGGGCCACACACGUAAUACAAUGGCCGGUACAGAGGGCAGCUACACAGCGAUGUGAUGCAAAUCUCGAAAGCCGGUCUCAGUUCGGAUUGGAGUCUGCAACUCGACUCUAUGAAGCUGGAAUCGCUAGUAAUCGCGCAUCAGCCAUGGCGCGGUGAAUACGUUCCCGGGCCU